ensembl:snRNA Gm25905 predicted gene, 25905
UUGGUUCCACAGCACAUAUACUAAAAUUGGAACAAGACCCAAAUACACACAUGGCUCCGUGCAAGGAUGACACGCAUACAUCCUGAAGCGGUCUAUAUUCUU